GUAUAUGUGGAUGUGUAAGACCCCCCUUUAGGGGACACCCACUCUAGUCUCGGGAGUGAGAGAGCACCCAAAGAAACAAGAGAAUCC
rnacentral:pre_miRNA from 7 species